AUUGAAAGUUGGCGGCAGGCUUAACACAAGCAAGUCGAGCGAGCGGCGGACGGGUGAGUAAUGUCUGGGAAACUGCCUGAUGGAGGGGGAUAACUACUGGAAACGGUAGCUAAUACCGCAUACCAUAAGAUGUGCUCAGAUGGGAUUAGCUAGUGGGUGGGGUAAUGGCUCACCUAGGCGACGAUCCCCAGCUGGUCUGAGAGGAUGACCAUCCACACUGGGACUGAGACGCGGUCCAGACUCCUACGCGAGGCGGCAGUGGGGAAUAUUGCACAGUGGGCGAAAGCAUGAUGCAGACGUGCCGCGUGUGUGAAGAAGGCUUUCGGGUUGUAAAGCCCUUUCAGCGAGGAGGCGUUACUCGCAGAAGAGGCACCGGCUAACUCCGUACCAGCAGCCGCGGUAAUAC
rnacentral:rRNA from 1 species